AGAGUUUGAUCCUGGCUCAGGAUGAACGCUGGCGGCGUGCUUAACACAUGCAAGUCGAGCGAAGUAUUUUUAAGGAAGUUUUCGGAUGGAAUUAAAAGUGACUGAGCGGCGGACGGGUGAGUAACGCGUGGGUAACCUGCCUCAUACAGGGGGAUAACAGUUGGAAACGACUGCUAAUACCGCAUAAGCGCACAGUGUCACAUGACACAGUGUGAAAAACUCCGGUGGUAUGAGAUGGACCCGCGUCUGAUUAGGUAGUUGGUGAGGUAACGGCCCACCAAGCCGACGAUCAGUAGCCGACCUGAGAGGGUGACCGGCCACAUUGGGACUGAGACACGGCCCAAACUCCUACGGGAGGCAGCAGUGGGGAAUAUUGGACAAUGGGGGAAACCCUGAUCCAGCGACGCCGCGUGAGUGAAGAAGUAUUUCGGUAUGUAAAGCUCUAUCAGCAGGGAAGAAAAUGACAGUACCUGACUAAGAAGCCCCGGCUAACUACGUGCCAGCAGCCGCGGUAAU
rnacentral:rRNA from 1 species